rnacentral:rRNA from 1 species
GACGAACGCUGGCGGCGUGCUUAACACAUGCAAGUAGGACGCAGUUGCGAACGGGUGAGUAACGCGUAGGUAACUACCUAUUAGAGGGGGAUAACUAUUGGAAACGAUAGCUAAUACCGCAUACUAGUAGAUGGACCUGCGUUGUAUUUGCUAGUAGGUAGGGUAAUGGCCUACCUAGGCAACGAUACAUAGCCGACCUGGGAGGGUGAUAGGGCCAACUGGGAAUGAGAAACGGCCCAGACUCCCACGGGAGGGAGCAGUAGGGAAUCUUCGGCAAUGGGGGGAAACCUGACCGAGCAACGCCGCGGGAGGGAAGAAGGUUUUCGGGUCGUAAAGCUCUUUUGUUAAGGAAGCGGUACUUAACCAGAAAGGGACGGCUAACUACGUGCCAGCAGCCGCGGUAAUAC